rnacentral:misc_RNA from 1 species
AUUGUUUUAUUUUAUUUUACUCAGCAUUGAGAAGUUGCAUAGACCAGAGAUCCUCCAUGCUCCAAUAAUUGUCAUUGGAAUUAUCAGUUGGGGGCAUAGGCACUGAGAAAGCAUCAAUGUUUUGAGAAUAAGUUGGAGGAGAAUAGGUUUCCAUUGGAUCCAUUGUGUAUGAAACUUGGCAGCUACUUGAACUUGCAGCUUGUUCA